GGCCGGGCCGGGCCGGGCGGGCUGAGGCGAGGCCGGGUCCCGGCGGGCCCGGCGCCCCCCCGGUGCAGCCCCCACCCCGCAGCCCGCCCGCCGACCCCCCAAACCUCGCUGCCACCACCACGCCGGCUCCCCCGGCCUGAGCAGACACAGGCCUCCACAACCCAGGCGAGACAAACAAAAAAAAACCACACCCAAAUUCACCCCAAAACCCAACACCCCCCCCCCCCCCCCCCCCCCCCCCAGCGAGGGGGCUGCCCCCGGGACCCCUCCCCAGCGCCACCGCCUCCAGCGGCCCCUCAGCGGCGCCGGCAGCGGCCCCGGCCCGCCGGUAAGGGCGGGCGCGGCUCCCCCGUCCCCACACGCGGCCACAGCCCCACGGCGGCGACUUACGGCGCGGUCCCGGCCGCAAGAUGUCUGCCGGCGGCCGCCCCGCUCCCGCUGCCUGCGCUGCGCCCGCGGGGCCAACGGGAACGGCUGGGCGGGCUCCCACAGUGCCCCGCGCCGCGUCCCUCCCCUCCCCUCAGCCCCUUCCCUCAGCCCCUCCCCGCCUCCUCCGCCCCUCACGGGGACGCCCCCGGUCUCCUCAGUUCCCCCCCGGUCCCCUCACGGUCUCCUCACCGUCCACGGUCCCCUCUGCGCCGCCACCUCCGUCCCCUCCGCCGCCCACCCUUGUCUGAGCGGUGCCCGCCGGGCUGUGGAGGCGGCUCUCCCCGGUUCCCCUCAGUUCGCCUCAGUUCGCCUCAGUUCCCCUCAGUUCCCCUCAGUUCCCCUCAGUUCUCCUCAGUUCUCCUCAGUUCCCCUCCGUUCCCUGCCGCCCGGCCCCUGUGUGGACAUAAGGCCUCGGCCAUUGUGUACAAAAUGUGCCCGCUCCUAAAGGAGGGAAGGCAGGGGAGGAGACGGGUGGGGAGGACAGAGCGCGGGCUCGGUGCCGCAUCCUUCCCCGAGCGAAGUUCCUUGUUCGGGGAGAGAGGAGGCACUGAGUCGUUGCGAGAAAUGCUUUCUUCUACUGUACAAAAGUGGCUGGCUGCCAUUUUGCGAAGGCCCCAGAUGGAGCUUUUGGAGGAAUUCCUGCUGUGGUGGCACAGAUGUCCUUGA
rnacentral:lncRNA from 1 species